GAGGCGUAUUAACUAGUUCGUGAGGUUAUGGCUCACCAAGGCAACGAUGCGUAACCGACCUGAGAGGGUGAUCGGCCACACUGGGACUGAGACACGGCCCAGACUCCUACGGGAGGCAGCAGUAGGGAAUCUUCCGCAAUGGACGAAAGUCUGACGGAGCAACGCCGCGUGAGUGAUGAAGGUUUUCGGAUCGUAAAGCUCUGUUGUUAGGGAAAAACAUGUACCGUUCGAAUAGGGCGGUACCUUGACGGUACCUAACCAGAAAGCCACGGCUAACUACGUGCCAGCAGCCGCGGUAAUACGUAGGUGGCAAGCUUUGYCCGGAAUUAUUGGGCGUAAAGGGCUCGCAGGCGGUUUCUUAAAUUCUGAUGUGAAAAGCCCCCGGCUCCAACCGGGGGAGGGUCAUUGGAAACUGGGGGAACUUGAGUGCAGAAGAGGAGAGUGGAAUUCCACGUGUAGCGGUGAAAUGCGUAGAGAUGUGGAGGAACACCAGUGGGCGAAGGCGACUCUUUGGUCUGUAACUGACGCUGAGGAGCGAAAGCGUGGGGAGCGUACAGGAUUAGAUACCCUGGUAGUCCCACGCCCGUAAACGAUGAGUGCUAAGUGUUAAGGGGUUUUCCGCCCCUUUAGUGCUGCAGCUAACGCAUUAAGCACUCCGCCUGGGGAGUACGGUCGCAAGACUGAAACUCAAAGGAAWUGACGGGGGCCCGGCACAAGCGGUGGAASAUGGGGUUUAAUUUCGAAGCAACGCGAAGAACCUUACCAGGUCUUGACAUCCUCUGACAAUCCUAGAGAUAGGACGUUCCCUUCGCGGGGCAGAGUGACAGGUGGUGCAUGGUUGUCGUCAGCUCGUGUCGUGAGAUGUUGGGUUAAGUCCCGCAACGAGCCCAACCCUUGAUCUUAGUUGCCAGCAUUCAGUUGGGCACUCUAAGGUGACUGCCGGUGACAAACCGGAGGAAGGUGGGGAUGACGUCAAAUCAUCAUGCCCCUUAUGACCUGGGCUACACACCUGUUACAAUUGACAGAACAAAGGGCAGCGAAUCCCCGGGGUUAAGAAAAUUUCACAAAUCUGUCCCCAGGGUUGAUCCCAGUCUCCAAUAGGUCUUACAAGGCA
rnacentral:rRNA from 1 species